rnacentral:rRNA from 1 species
AGCGAACGCUGGCGGCAUGCUUAACACAUGCAAGUCGCACGAAGGUUUCGGCCUUAGUGGCGGACGGGUGAGUAACGCGUAGGAAUCUAUCCAUGGGUGGGGGAUAACACUGGGAAACUGGUGCUAAUACCGCAUGAUACCUGAGGGUCAAAGGCGCAAGUCGCCUGUGGAGGAGCCUGCGUUCGAUUAGCUAGUUGGUGGGGUAAAGGCCUACCAAGGCGAUGAUCGAUAGCUGGUUUGAGAGGAUGAUCAGCCACACUGGGACUGGGACACGGCCCAGACUCCUACGGGAGGCAGCAGUGGGGAAUAUUGGACAAUGGGGGCAACCCUGAUCCAGCAAUGCCGCGUGUGUGAAGAAGGUCUUCGGAUUGUAAAGCACUUUCGACGGGGACGAUGAUGACGGUACCCGUAGAAGAAGCCCCGGCUAACUUCGUGCCAGCAGCCGCGGUAAUAC